GUGGGUCCUAAAUGCUUCAUAUGUCAAAGACAAAGGCAAUGUGUUGUUUCCUGAUGGAUGCAUUACUUCAGAGGGAGAGUGUCCUGGACCUUGGAGCUGGUAAUGGUAUCUCCAGAGAGGCUCCUCUCUGGCAUAGCUGGAGGAGAGUAAUGUAUCAGCAGACCAUAUCAAAGCCUAGCACAAGGCUUUGGGCAGUGAAUGGAGCUCAUUAAACUCACUGUAACUGACAGCUGGAUAUUUCAGAGAGAAAAAGUCUGAAGAACCCCCUGGCAUUGGCCAUGUUUUAUAGAUCUUUUGGAUUGCAGAAAGACAAAUAAAAAACAUUCAUAGGAAGGUGUCAUGAGAAUGGGAAAGGAAAGGAGAGCUCAAAUAAUGGUCUCCUCUGCUUGGCAGUGAAGAAGCAGAGCUUCUGAUUUUUCCAGGAAGAUAUUAUAAAGCCAACAUCAUCUAAUGACUUCUGCAGUCUGAGUCAUUUCAGAGAACAACCACUUGGCAGUUCAGUUCAUUUGCAGUGGAGAUGCCGGGACCGUCACGAUCAGUGAAUGAAUGCCAGCAAUGUUUUGGAUGGGUUCCUGCUUCCAGUUGGCAUCUGGUCUCCUGUCUGUGUCUCUGCUCGAUCUCUGCUGCAUAUGAGCAAGGCAUUGAGCUGUUACUCACUUUUAAAACUGGUUCCCUUUGGCACCAGUUGUACUUCAGCUGACUCCUGCAAACAAACAAAACAUUCUUCAAAGAUUUGUGUAAGUUUGGAAGGAGUCUCACAUUUCUCACUGCCUGCACUUUGAAAAUAACAACACUGCUGUAUUUCCCCUUACCUGAACACACACAGACUUUACCUCUUCUGAAGCUGACAGGGGUUUCCUACAUCUGAUCCCAUGUAUUCCCCUCUUCACGAGAGUAUAUGAAUGUUACAUAUUUGUUGCAGUGCUGUAUAGUAGCUUCUCUUCCUUGUGGAAAAAGACUAUGAAAUGGGGUGACAAUUUUAUAUGUAAUCUGAUAAUUUCAACACAAAUUCUAAAAUUGGUGUGAAUGGAGAAUGAAUGGGAAUUCCCAGGUGUGCAGCCACCUUAUGGAGUCCACAGCAAGGAGAGGGGGCUCCCAGAAUGGCCUCUGUUAAUGGCAUCUGGAUUAGCAGUUCAUCAGGACCCCAUCACAUCCACCUGCAGUUUCACAACAUGCUUGGAAAAUCCAGCUUGUGGAAAGGAGACCAGUGCUACACAGUCCUGGGUGGUGGUCCCCAAGUGCCUCUUGUGUGAGGUAAUCGAAGGCUCUGGGAAGGCAGCUGGUGGGAGGUCAUGCACUAAAACACAGGCAAUUGCCCUGAAUGAUGCUUCCCUACACGAAACAACCGGGAGUGACCGGGCCACCUCUCGUGCAGAGCUGUGUCAUGCUGGCAGCAGGUGCUGUUUUACAAUGAGAUGAAGCCUGUGGGUCUCGUGGAUGCCCGGCAUGUUGCAGAGAAUGCUUGGGGAGCAACAGGAUUGGGCUCAGAGAUGCCUCCAGGUACCUCAGGAUGGUUCUGAGCCCCUCCACAGCUGCUCCCCAUGAGGAUCCCAGACCACAUCGGCUCACUGAAGGUUCAGCAACAAACUGCAAAAAGGUGAAGGUUCCUCCCUCCCUGUUCCCCUACAUCAGUGAAGUCACUUGCAGGGUCCUCAAGUCCCAAUGGAAGUGGUGUUGUCCCUGUGAAAUUUCUCUUUUUCAUUUUGGAGAUUAGCAGCCAGACCCUUCAAUGAGUUUUCUUUCUGUUGCUAUGGUUGUUUUAGUAUUAUAAUCUUUAAAAGUUGAUGGCCUAUCAAGGCCACCUUAAUGCUUCAGAGUACCUUUCCCAGCCAUAGCAUGGGGACAAUGUACCCUCUCUUUAGUCUGUCUACAGAGAAAGAAAAAUGUUCUGAAUUCAGUCCUUUAGCUUUGGGAACUGAUGGCUUCUAUGAUUAACUGCCUUUUGGGAAUUUGCU